rnacentral:rRNA from 1 species
AUUGAACGCUGGCGGAAUGCUUUACACAUGCAAGUCGAACGGAAGCACGGACUUCGGUCUGGUGGCGAGUGGCGAACGGGUGAGUAAUGUAUUGGGACGUGGCCAGUCGUGGGGGAUAACGUAGUGAAAAUUACGUUAAUAACGCAUACGAGCUAUGGAUGAAUGCGAGGGAUCGCAAGACCUCGCGCGAUUGGAGCGGCCGAUACCAGAUUAGGUUGGUGGUGGGGUAAAGGCUCACAAAGCCAACGAUCUGUAGCUGGUCUGAGAGGACGAGAAGGCACACUGGAACUGGGGCACGGUCCAGACUCCUACGAGUGGCAUCAGUGUGAAAUUUUGGAGAAGGGGCGAAGGCCUGAUGCAGCCAUGCCGUGUGCAGGUUGAAGGCCGUCGGGUUGUAAACUGCUUUUGUACAGAACGAAAAGGUUUCUACUAAUACUAGGAGCUCAUGACGGUACUGUAAGAAUAAGCACCUGCUAACUACGUGCCAGCAGCCGCAGUAA